rnacentral:rRNA from 1 species
UGCGUAGGAGGUUUUUUAAGUUGGAUGUGAAAGCCCUCGGCUCAACCGAGGAAUUGCAUUCAAUACUGAUUAACUAGAGUGUAAGAGAGGAAAACGGAAUUCCUAGUGUAGCGGUGAAAUGCGUAGAUAUUAGGAGGAACACCGGUGGCGAAGGCGGUUUUCUGGUUUAACACUGACUCUGAGGCACGAAAGCUAGGGGAGCAAACAGGAUUAGAUACCCUGGUAGUCC